GGUGUAUAUCUCCGUGUUGUGAGCCACCCAACAGACACUAUGGUGUAGAUCUCAGUGUAGAGCCACCAACAGACAUUAACACCCUAUGGUGUAGAUCUCAGGUAGAGCCACCAACAGACAUUACACUAUUGUGUAGAUCUCCGUGCUAGAGCCACCAAAUACACUAUGUGUAGCUCCUCAGUGUAGAGCAACCAAAGACACUCUGGUGUAUAUUCAGUGUAGAGCCACAACCAGAACUAUGUGUAGCUCAGUGUAGAGCCACCAACAGACACUAUGGUGUUGUAGUUCUCAGUUGAGACCACCAACAGACAUUAACAUAUGGUGUAGCUCUCAGUGUCGAGCCCACCACCAGACAUAACACUAUUGUGUAGAUCUCAGUGUAGAGCCACCAACAGACACUAUGUUGUGUAGAUCUAGUGUAGAGCCCACAACAGACUUAACACUAGGUGUAGAUUCUCAAGUGUAGAGCCCCCAACAGACAAU
rnacentral:lncRNA from 1 species